UACAGAGGUCCCGAGCGUUUGUUCGGAUUCAUUGGGCGUAAAGCGCACGCAGGCGGAUCGUUAAGUCGGGGGUGAAAUCCCGAGGCUCAACCUCGGAACUGCCUUCGAUACUGGCGAUCUUUGAGUCCGGGAGAGGUGAGUGGAAUUCCUAGUGUAGAGGUGAAAUUCGUAGAUAUUAGGAAGAACACCAGUGGCGAAGGCGGCUCACUGGCCCGGUACUGACGCUGAGGCGCGAAAGCGUGGGGAGCAAACAGG
rnacentral:rRNA from 1 species